GGAGAGUGGGUGUGGACCAGACCGCACGCCUGAGAUCCCCAGCCUGGAACGAGGAGCCCAGAGUGAGGGCUGAGUCACAGCCCUAUCUUUCCAGGACAAGAAUGAAAAUACUGAAAUGUGGCAGGAUUUCUAAGAGAACGAAAGCCAAGAAACACUGAAAACACAGCCUUGAGAUUUCCGGUUCAGUUUCCAGGACAAAGAUUCAUCGUGGGUCUCUGUCAUCUCUGCCACACAGAGACCUGGGUCAGCGGGAGCGGGGGCCUCCGAGGGUGGCGGUGCCAGGCCCGGCGCUGGCAGGCCGCUCCCCAGGGUCGUGGCUGGGAGGCCACCUCUCCUCACCAGAUCGGCUCCUACUCGUUCCCACAGGAAGCCCUGGAAAAUAGUUGGGAUUUUUCUUCUCUACGUCCACGCUAGUUCAUUCUCAGAGCGCUUCCCGUGUGUGCUUGGAGCCACAUGUUGGGUAAAGAAAGGUGGAAGAAGCAUUUCACGGCGUUUUCUCCCCCAGGAGCAGUCUCCUAUUUUUGUCCAGACAGUGCUUGCUUUUGUUUUGUUUUGCUUUGACACGUGGCUUCUGUAAAAAUGUGUCAGUCUUUCCCUUUGAAUUUAAGGACUCAACUCAAGGGAAUAAAAGCGAACGUGAACGCGUAA